GAUGAACGCUGGCGGCGUGCCUAAUACAUGUAAGUCAAGCGAACAGACGAGGAGCUUGCUCCUCUGACGUUAGCGGCGGACGGGUGAGUAACACGUGGAUAACCUACCUAUAAGACUGGGAUAACUUCGGGAAACCGGAGCUAAUACCGGAUAAUAUAUUGAACCGCAUGGUUCAAUAGUGAAAGACGGUUUUGCUGUCACUUAUAGAUGGAUCCGCGCCGCAUUAGCUAGUUGGUAAGGUAACGGCUUACCAAGGCAACGAUGCGUAGCCGACCUGAGAGGGUGAUCGGCCACACUGGAACUGAGACACGGUCCAGACUCCUACGGGAGGCAGCAGUAGGGAAUCUUCCGCAAUGGGCGAAAGCCUGACGGAGCAACGCCGCGUGAGUGAUGAAGGUCUUCGGAUCGUAAAACUCUGUUAUUAGGGAAGAACAAAUGUGUAAGUAACUAUGCACGUCUUGACGGUACCUAAUCAGAAAGCCACGGCUAACUACGUG
rnacentral:rRNA from 1 species